rnacentral:rRNA from 1 species
UCAACGCUGGCGGCGUGCCUCAGACAUGCAAGUCGAACGAUUAAAGCUCUCUUCGGAGAGUGCAUAGAGUGGCGCACGGGUGAGUAACACGUAAGUAAUCUACCUUCGAGUGGGGAAUAACAGUCGGAAACGACUGCUAAUACCGCAUAAUGCAGCGGCAUCGCAAGAUGACAGUUGUUAAAGGAGCAAUCCGCUUGAAGAGGAGCUUGCGGCAGAUUAGCUAGUUGGUAAGGUAAUGGCUUACCAAGGCAACGAUCUGUAACCGACCUGAGAGGGUGGUCGGUCACACUGACACUGAAUAACGGGUCAGACUCCUACGGGAGGCAGCAGUCGGGAAUCUUGCGCAAUGGGCGAAAGCCUGACGCAGCGACG